CAUGUAGGCGGUUGUUUAAGUCUGAUGUGAAAGCCCUGGGCUCAACCCAGGAAGUGCAUUGGAUACUGGGCAACUUGAGUACGGGAGAGGAAAGUGGAAUUUCGAGUGUAGGGGUGAAAUCCGUAGAUAUUCGAAGGAACACCAGUGGCGAAGGCGGCUUUCUGGACCGAUACUGACGCUGAGAUGCGAAAGCGGUGGGGAGCAAACA
rnacentral:rRNA from 1 species